rnacentral:hammerhead_ribozyme from 1 species
GUAACGAUGAAGAGUCCCAAACCAGGACGAAACAGCUGUCCAGUAC